UCAUUCCAACGAUCGACCAACUGUACUUACGAUCGGGAUAAUAGUUCUGUCUGUUCGAGGAGCACGUGGGAAUAGCAAGCGUCUUCAGUUUCGUAGAGUAGUGGUAUCUGUGAAAUCUAAAACACGUUUUAGUCUCUACGUUUGCUGUGGACUGUUGGAAGCCUCUGCAUUUAAUCGAUUUGGUUUUGUUUAGCGUAGCAGCAGAUCUUCCCUCACUAGUAAACCAUGGAAGCUUUCAACGAGGGAGUCUUGAUCGGAGGUGCGCAGGUGGAAACUACUGAGAAGGGCUGUCCUGUCUGCGGUGCGGAGGAUGGCCGCACCAUAUCGCUUCCAGCAGGAACAGUGCCCAGGUCGUUAGAGCUGAAACUCAGAAUGCAGAGGAAGCGUGAAAUUUAUGGACAAUUGUCCGUGGACUCGCUCGUUCGUAAGUAUAACGGGAAGCUGUCGAAAGAACAGUAUAGGGCUAAACUGCAGG